UACGGAGGGGGCUAGCGUUGCUCGGAAUUACUGGGCGUAAAGCGCGCGUAGGCGGACCUGCAAGUCUGGGGUGAAAGCCCGAGGCUCAACCUCGGAACUGCCUUCGAUACUGCGGGUCUCGAGUCCGGGAGAGGUGAGUGGAAUUCCUAGUGUAGAGGUGAAAUUCGCAGAUAUUGGGAGGAACACCAGUGGCGAAGGCGGCUCACUGGACCGGAACUGACGCUGAGGCGCGAAAGCGUGGGGAGCAAACAGG
rnacentral:rRNA from 1 species